UACGAAGGGGGCUAGCGUUGUUCGGAAUCACUGGGCGUAAAGCGUACGUAGGCGGACCAUUAAGUCGGGGGUGAAAUCCCAGGGCUCAACCCUGGAACUGCCUCGAUACUGGUGGUCUGGAGUCCGGGAGAGGUGGAGUGGAACUCCUAGUGUAGAGGUGAAAUUCGUAGAUAUUAGGAAGAACACCAGUGGCGAAGGCGGCUCACUGGCCCGGUACUGACGCUGAGGUACGAAAGCGUGGGGAGCAAACAGG
rnacentral:rRNA from 1 species